GACGAACGCUGGCGGCGUGCUUAACACAUGCAAGUCGAACGGAAAGGCCCUGCUUUUGUGGGGUGCUCGAGUGGCGAACGGGUGAGUAACACGUGAGUAACCUGCCCCUGUCUUUGGGAUAACUUCAGGAAACUGGGGCUCAUACCGGAUAGGAUCUCCUGCUGCACGGUGGGGGUUGGAGAGUUUCGGCGGUUGGGGAUGGACUCGCGGCUUAUCAGCUUGUUGGUGGGGUAGUGGCUUACCAAGGCUUUGACGGGUAGCCGGCCUGAGAGGGUGACCGGCCACAUUGGGACUGAGAGACGGCCCAGACUCCUACGGGAGGCAGCAGUGGGGAAUAUUGCACAAUGGGCGGAAGCCUGAUGCAGCGACGCCGCGUGCGGGAUGACGGCCUUCGGGUUGUAAACCGCUUUCGCCUGUGACGAAGCGUGAGUGACGGUAAUGGGUAAAGAAGCACCGGCUAACUACGUG
rnacentral:rRNA from 1 species